rnacentral:lncRNA from 1 species
CUAAAUCCAAAAGAUAUAUAAAGAUUCGCAUCGCAAGAGCGUUUCAAAUAAGUUUUGACCUCCCAAAUGCUGCCACUCUUGCGCAGCAGCCAAUACAAAACUGGGAUACAUAACAUAACAUAACAUAACAUAACAUAACAUAGGCCAACAACAAAAUUUAAUCAAUAUGGGGAACAAAAGUUGUAGUGAUAAGGUAGAGUUUACUUAGUUGGCAUCUACCAACUCCACAUCAAACACUAGCCAUGAAUUGGGAGG